GGACGUGAGGAUGAUCUGGUUAGGCUGCAACCCCACUGAGUGCCAGGGUUGAUUCAGCCGAUCUGGCUGCCUAGGCAGGGGUCCCCUCCCUCCCUCACUGCUCCACGUGUGUCCCUCCUGAAGCUGUGUGCUUGGUGGAAGAAGAUGGCCACCCUCAGUAGAGGAGGACCAUUUCUUCAGUCAAGGGGACAGCUACGCUCCCCUCCUGGAACCUCCAAACAAGCUCUCAAAAGGUAUGGAUUGUGAUGGUUGGUUUAAAUGGCAACUCUGGGUAAAGCUUCAACCAGUUUGGACGUUGCUCUGAAGACCAUGUU
rnacentral:snRNA from 1 species